UCCUGGCUUAGGAUGAACGCUGGCGGCGUGCCUAACACAUGCAAGUCGAACGGAGUAAUUAAGCGGAAGUUUCGGAUGGAAGCAUAGUACUUAGUGGCGGACGGGUGAGUAACGCGUGGGCAACCUGCCCUGUACCGGGGGAUAACACUUAGAAAUAGGUGCUAAUACCGCAUAAGCGCACAGCUUCGCAUGAAGGUGUGUGAAAAACUCCGGUGGUACAGGAUGGACCCGCGUCUGAUUAGCUAGUUGGUGGGGUAGAGGCCUACCAAGGCGACGAUCAGUAGCCGGCCUGAGAGGGUGACCGGCCACAUUGGGACUGAGACACGGCCCAAACUCCUACGGGAGGCAGCAGUGGGGAAUAUUGCACAAUGGGGGAAACCCUGAUGCCAGCGACGCCGCGUGAGUGAAGAAGUAUUUCGGUAUGUAAAGCUCUAUCAGCAGGGAAGAAAAUGACGGUACCUGACUAAGAAGCCCCGGCUAACUACGUGCCAGCCGCCGC
rnacentral:rRNA from 1 species